rnacentral:tRNA from 1 species
GCGAAUAAAGAAAAUAUUUUUCAUAAUAAUUUGAGAUUAUUAUAUUUUGUGUUUAGUUGUGCAAUGUUCGUU